AUAAGAAAGGUUACUUAAAGCGUAUGGAGGAUGCCUAGACUGAAGUAAGCGAUGAAGGACGUAGCAGGUUGCGAUAAGCCUCGGGGAGCUGCCAAGCAAGCUUUGAUCCGAGGAUUUCCGAAUGAGACAACUCUUCGCCGAUGAGGCGAAAUCAUUAACUGAAUUCAUAGGUUAAUGAAGCACACCCUGGGAACUGAAACAUCUUAGUACCAGGAGGAAAAGAAAACAAUAGUGAUUCCGCAAGUAGUGGCGAGCGAAAGCGGAACAGCCGACACUCUUUAGCAUUGAUCCAAUAGAAUGUCUCUGGAAAGAGCGACCAUAGAGGGUAAUAGUCCCGUAUAUGAACGAUUGAUGUGGAAAUAGGUGUGUCAAAAAGUAGGGCGGGACCGGAGAAAUCCCGUUUGAAGAUGGGAGCACUAACUUCCAAGGCUAAAUAUUACUUCAGAUCGAUAGUGAACUAGUACCGUGAGGGAAAGGUGAAAAGCAUCCCGAUGAGGGAGAUGAAAUAGUAUCUGAAACCAUACGCUAACAAAGAAUCAGAGCCCCGGCGCUUGCGUCGAGGUGAUGGUGUGCUUUUUGCAGAACGAGCCAACGAGUUAGUUUUAUAUGGCAGCGUAAGCCACUUUGUGGCGGACGCAUAGUGAAAGCGAGGCUUAACCGCCGCAUAUUGUCGUAUGGACUAGACCCGAAGCCAGGCGAGCUACAUAUGAGCAGGGUGAACUCCGAGUAACAUCGGGGGGAGGCCCGAACCCACUAGUCGUUCGACUCUAGGGGAUGACUUGUGUGUAGAGGAGAAAUUCCAAUCGAGCUUGGCGAUAGCUGGUUCUCUCCGAAAUAGCUUGAGGGCUAGCGUUCGGUAAAUGAGCAUGGGAGGUAGAGCUACUGAAUGAGGCCGCGCGGCUUGCCGUAGCGAUCUCAACCAAACUCCGAAUUCCCAUGUUUCUUAUCCGAGCAGUCAGAAAUCCGGCUCUAAGGUCGGAUCUCAAAAGGGAAAAAGCCCAGAUCAUAAUCUAAGGUCCCCAAAUUCAUGUUAAGUGGAAAAGGAAGUAAAGUUUCUCAAACACCUAGGAGGUUGGCUUAGAAGCAGCCAUCCUUUAAAGAGUGCGUAAUAGCUCACUAGUUUAGAGAUUUUGCGCCGAAAAUGUAACGGGGCUAAACAUGAUACCGAAGAUAUGGACUCCAGUGCAUGACACUGGAAUUUUCAAUUUUCAAUUUUCAAUUUUCAAUCAAUGAUUUAAUGACUUAAUUUUUAAAUUUAAUAAAUUAAGAAAUUAGAAAUUGUUUAGAAAUUAGAAAUUAGAAAUUAGAAAUUCCAAUGUUGUGCAUUGGUUUGGUAGGAGAGCGUUCCUUGUGCGUUGAAGCCUAAGGCGUGAGCCGUGGUGGAGCGCAGGGAAGUGAGAAUGUUGGCAUAAGUAACCGCAAUGCACGUGAGAGCCGUGCACCCCGAAAGUCCAAGGUUUCCUGGGCAAUGGUGAUCAUCCCAGGGUUAGUCGGUCCUAAGGCGAGGCUGAAAAGCGUAGUCGAUGGACAACAGGUUAAUAUUCCUGUACUGAAAUAAUAUUCGAUGGAGGGACGCAUUUUAGUAUAUUCUGCGCCUUAAUGGAUUGGCGUAGGGUUUUUAAGGAAGCUUUCUAGGAAAAUCCGGAAAGCAAUAUUCCAAGAAUUCUCUGGAACCCCGACCUCGUGUCGGGGGAACAGAAUAAAGCAAAGUGCCAGGAAAAACUUCUAAGAUUAGUAUUAUUUCAUCCGUACCGCAAACCGACACAGGUGGACAGGGCGAGUAGCCCAAGGGGAACGGGAGAACCUUCGUUAAGGAACUCGGCAAAACAGCUAGACGUAAGUUCGCAAGAUGUCUCGCCUAUAUCGCAAGGUAUAGGCCGCAGCUAAAGAUCCCAAGCGACUGUUUAUCAAAAACACAGGUCUCUGCAAACCCGCAAGGGGAAGUAUAGGGGCUGACGCCUGACCAGUGCUGGAACGUUAACGGGAGCGGUGCAAGCCAAUCCCCGAAGCGCCAGUGAACGUCGGCGAUAACUAUAAUCGUCCUAAGGUAGCGAAAUUCCUUGUCAGGUAAAUUCUGACCCGCAU
rnacentral:rRNA from 1 species